GGCAGCGUGGCUCGGUGGCAAGAGCCCGGGCUUGGGAGGCAGAGGCCAUGGGUUCUAAUCCCGACUCUGCCA
rnacentral:tRNA from 1 species